GGCCUCCCUCUGUAGGGCGAUCAAUCGCUGGCCUCUGCAAUUGAUCACCCUGCAGAGGGAGGCC
rfam:Myotis lucifugus cont2.30312, whole genome shotgun sequence.